rnacentral:lncRNA from 1 species
UUUAUACCUGAACCAUGAUGUGACCGCAGUACACCACUGAGGCUUGAUUAAGUCGAGAAGGCUUUGAGUGAGCUCCACAUAGCUAUUGACCGGGUCUUUGGUGAGUGAACAAGCCAAGUUAGUGCAUGUUUGGGUUAUCUAUUUACAUUAUUAAAUGGGUGGCAGUUCAGGGUUUCAAUUUCGACCACUCUCUAGGGCACUUCUUUCGGGAGAAUAAACUUGAUAAAUUCCUUCUUCACUCUAAGGUUUCAGUUGUGAGUAAUUGUUAGACCUGGCCAUUUUAUUCUGUAGAUAUUCUCUGAAGCCGUAAGCACAGAACAGUUACUGCAAUGACAGUUUGUGUUACUGAAGUCCUUUUAGUCUUCCUGUUAAAAUAAUAUCAAAGUUCAAAUGUUCAUAGAGAGCCCUAUGUUUUGCUUUGUUUUCAAUUCCAUACGCCAGAUUUAACUCAAUCCAGGAUGUAUUUCUUCUUGUAUAAUUAACUUUUGUAUUCUACGAACACAAUUGAUGCCCUUUAAUUUUUUUUUGAGAGUACGCCAAAGGCGUACCAUACCUUUAUAGAAGAAGAGAGCAAGCGUUAUUUACAAGGGUUACAAGAAAGAAAAGAGACACCCUAGGGCACCCAACUAGCUAUCCUAUGCCAACACUCUCACAAAACGAGCCAUAACCUCCUCCACCCAAGCCCGCCAGUCUCCAUUCUUUGAGCUCCGCGAUGAUGGCAAGGGCCAGCUCGGAUGCGGUCUUCUGCUGGUUGAUCCGGUGAAAAACUCUGGCAUUGCGUUGCUUCCAAAGAGCCCAUGUGGUUGCGAUGACGACCAUGUCAAAGCCGCGCUUGGAUGUUUUUCUCAAGUUAGUCCUCGUGGCCAGCCACCAGUCAAGAAGAGUAUCCUCCGGUCUGGGGACGUUACCGCUGAAGCUCAGAGUCUAAAAAAUGUAGUGCCACACUUCCCUAGCGUAAACGCAUUGAGUGAGGAUGUGCUCCGCAUUGUCCUCAUCUUGGAGACACAUGAAGCAGGCGGACGGAGCAUCCUGGAGUCCAUGUCUGAAUCUCCUAUCAGAAGUCCAAAUCCGGUGUUGGACUGCCAACCAGACGAAGAGUUUGCACUUCAGGAGAGCCCAGCUUCUCCAAAUGCAAGUGGCAAAGGGGGCUCUUUCAGCGCCUUGACAAAGACGAUUGUAGGUGGACUUUGCAGUAUAGGAUCCAGACGGGUCAGCUGGCCACGAGAAGGUGUCGUCCCUAGUGGGGUCGUGAUUGCUCGUACUGAUCGCGAGAUUGAGAUGUAAAAGCUGCAUGUGGCCAACAAAGUUGACUUCUCCACUGAUGUCAUGGAGCCAUCGCCCCUCCAAGAGCCCAUCCUCGACCGUGCGGCGAUUGAUCGUACGCGUGUCCACUAGAGCAUGGAUGAGCGGUGUGAUGUCCUUGACCGCAAAGCCAUGGAUCCAUCGAUCUCUCCAGAACAAGACCUUGCUGCCCUUCCCCACAGUGAUGUGCACCAUGAUGUCAAAAACCUCCCGAGCCUCUCCGUCGACCGCCAUGGGCAGUCCUUGCCAAGGCCUGUCAGGAUCCGUUCUUCUGAGCCACUCCCAUUGAACUCUCAAGGCCAAUCCUUGCAAUUGUAGAUUAAGAACGCCCAAACCACCUUGCCAGGUCGGUUUGCAAACUGAAUUCCAUGCCACGAGGCAUUGACCGCCAUUCACCUUCUCCUUGCCAGCCCAGAAAAAUGAGCGCAUCCAUUGGUCGAUCUCUUCAAAAACCCAAGCUGGAGCCUCCGUGAUCAUGAAGUGAUGUAUGGGUUUGGCCGCAAUGACCGACUUAACGAGCACCACAUGUCCAGGGCGAUGAAUAAGCCCUCUUUGCCAGGCUGGGGCGAAGCUCUUGGCUUGGUCGAUCAUGGGCUGCCAAUCGGCCCUCGAAAGCUGUCGGAUGGCAAGUUGGAGACCAAGGUAUUUGCACGGAAAGUUGCCCAAACGACAAUGCAAGAUGGACUGCACCCGGUCUCGGUCGCUGGUGUCCCAAUGGAUCAAGAUGGCCAUAGACUUUUGAUAGUUGAUUUUAAGCCCAGAGGCCUCCCCAAACACAUGUAACACCGAUCUGACGAACGUGAGGUCCAGCUCCUUUGGCUUAACAAAUAAGACCACGUCGUCUGCGUAGAUCGACACCGACUGAUGAGCAUCGAUGCCCGGGAAAUUUCCAAUAACACCUAAAUUGGCAGCCUUGAUCAUGAUGCGUGACAACACAUCCAUGGCGAUGACGAAUAGCAGGGGAGAGAUAGGAUCCCCCUGCCUGAGGCCCUUGACAUGAGUGAAGCUUUUGCUGGGAACUCCAUUGACAAUCACUUUGGUGGUGGCGGUCCGCAGAAGAAUAGAGAUCCAACCGCACCACUUUUGGCCGAAUCCUUUGCUCCUCAUCCCAUCCAUCAGGAACGACCAAUUGAGCGAAUCAAAAGCCCUAGAGAUGUCAAGUUUCAAAAAAGCGUUGUCCGCCUUGCGAGCGUGUAACUUCCUGGCCACUUGCCUGACAAGAAGGAAAUUGUCGUGCAGGUGCCUCCCACAAAUGAAAGCUGACUGGUUGGCCGUGACGAUUUCUUUCAUUCUUCUGCGCGCUCUUAUCGCGAGUAACUUGGCGAAAAUCUUAGCCACACUAUGAGGGAGGCUAAUUGGCCGAAAAUCUCCAAUCUCCUCCGCGUCAGGCUUCUUCGGAAUAAGGACAAUGUGGGCUCUGUUGAGGAUAUAGACCUUAGAGUCACCCGCCAGGAGGGGCCGGGUUACUCAUAAUGGUCAUCGCCAGAAGCCCGGCGCCAAGCUUGAAGACGGUGGGCCAAAGAUGGGCUUAAGACCCGGAUAUGGCUUAAGGCCUGUAGUUACAAUCAUCAUUAUGGUAGAACUUGUAGUAUAAGGCAAGAAUAGUUGAGAGUCCGAGCCGGACACUCUUAUGAGCCGGCCGGGACUCUGAGAGCUGCUGGGCGUCAGCCUCCCUAUAUAAAGGGACGACUCGGCAGCGGUUUAGGGACAAGACAGAUCUCAUCGAGAGCCAGGCAUAGCGGUUUAGCUCCCUGGUCAUCGAAACCCUAAUCAAUACCACCUCAACUGGACGUAGGCUUUUACCUUCACUGUAAGGGGCCGAACCAGUAUAAACCCUCGUGUUCCUUGUCCCGUUUAACCCCUUCAAGCUUCCUAGCGGCGAUGGCUCCACGACUAAGUCCUAGCUUGAGGACAUCUGCCGUGACAAUUCCACGACAGUUGGCGUCCACCGUGGGGCCAGCGCACGGUGGAUUUGAGUUCUUGAAGGGCAGCUUCGAAGGGCUCAAGGGAUACGCUGUGGGCCGGAUGACCAAGAGUCGUCGCGGCAAGCUCUACAUCGACGAUGCAAACUGGGGCCCCGACGCCGGCUCAAUUGAGUACGGGUACCGGGUCCCCUUCGGCGGAAUUCAUGUUUUCAUUGGCAAGGUUGGGGAGCCGGGCCCUGAGCCGGAUCUCUGCGCCGAUCUCAUCGAGACGGCUCAGCGUGCGCGACCCGCCCGGGCCCUGCCUGCCUUGAGGCAUGCUUUUGUGGGAUGUGUCCAUGGAGGGCACUCUGACAGAUCUGGAUCUGGUGAUGAGACGGCCGCCGGCUCUGACGGCGAGUCGUCCACAGAUGAGUCAAACUCGUUGUAUCAACUUCAAGAUGGUAGGCUCAUGGGUUGUUCCGAUAGUGACAGUAUUCCGGACCCGUUUGAGCCGCCGAGCCGGGUCAGAAUCUUCAUGGCCGGUGCGCAGCCUGUUCAGAACCCUGCUGCUGGGGCAGGAAGCCCGGUGCCUUCGCCGGCUCAGGUGCUGAUGGAUCUCACGGACAAGAUGACGGCCCUGUUGACCGCCGCGGUUGACCCGGCGGAUCAAGCUCAGCAUGACGCGGAGGUGGCGCAGUUAAAGUUAGAUCUAGUGAAAGCCAAAGAGGAUCUGGCAGCGGAAGGGAUCAGGAUGGCUGCGGAGAGGGCGGCCCUCGACGCCCAAACUCAGUUGAUUCAGGCACAGUCCUUCCGGCUCACGAUGGAUCAGAACGCGUCCAAUGAGGUCAUGAGAAGGAGGCAUCAAAAGGCCCAAUCUCGACUCCCUCCGGUUUACGAUCCACGAAACCUCUUCAACACGCCAGGUGCAGGGUCUAGUAACCCGCCAGGGAUCAUAGUGCCCGGGUCUGGGCCCCCUGUUCAGCCACAGGUGAUGGGGCCUCCCCGGGUGAACCCUGCCCCGCCUCAAUACGUGCCAAUACCACCGGGUCAUUAUGCUAACCCGCUGGAGAACAUGGUCGCCGCAGCAGCGCGGCUGGCAGCUCUCCCAAUUAACGGCGACUCUCCGACGGCUAUUGAAACCCGCCGGGUCAGGGAACUCCUUCAGACAGCACUGGCGCAACAAGAGGCAUACUCUUACAGCCGGGACAGGAUCCACUCGACCCCUCGUCCAGGCCGGAGCCCGAGUUAUAGCAGACACAUGGUCUCAGCGACCGGCUCAAGUAAUGUCCGACGCCAUGACCCGCCCCCUGGCCAUGGCCCGGCUUAUAACGGAGCCUUUCACGCAGCAGACCAAGAUAGAGCGCGACAAGAGGCAGAGCAGGUGCCUCAGUUGACGGCUUACCAGACUCCCCCGGCUUAUCCAACGGCUUCCGUCGACGUGGGCAUCCCUACCAGGACUGGAGGUGUCCCUUGCUUGGUGCCGGCUCUCCGCAAUGAGCGUCUACCCAAGGACUUCAAAGGCCCUAGGAAGGUGCCUAAUUACACAGCUGACUUACAACCCGCAUCCUGGAUCAAGAGUUACGAGAUGGCCAUGGAACUGCUGGAAGUCAGUGAAGCAGCAAUGGCCAAGUUCUUCACCAUGAUGUUAGAUGGGACUGCCCGCACUUGGUUGAAGGGGCUACCACCGAAUUCCAUCGGGUCUUGGGCUGAGCUGAAAGCCCGGUUCAUCCAAAAUUUCAAGGAUACCUGUAGGCAGUCUAUGUCAAUUAUGGAUUUGACUAACUGUAAGCAGCAGGAGGGUGAGUCUACGACACAUUGGGUUCGUCGGGUUAAUGAGAUAAUACAUUCAUAUGAUAAGAUGGAUGCCGGCUCUGCAGUCUUAAUGUUAGAACAGAAUUGUCGUUUCGUGCCCCUGAAGAUGAAACUCGGGCGGCUUAAGCGCGACUGCAGUGAUAUGGGUACACUGAUGGCGGCUCUCGUCAAGUACGCCGAUUCUGAUAGUACCAAGGACCUCGCUUCAGAUGAUAAAAGGACAGGGAAGGGAAAGAAGAACGGCAAUGGCAAGGGUCCUCAGCAUAACCCGGGGAACCAAGGAGGUGGCAAGCGCAAGGCCGAUGGCAGCCUAGAGUUCGUAGCCAAUGCCAGCUCACAGGGCAAUAACCAGCGACGCAAGGGGAGGCCCCCUCCCCGGGCCGGCGGGUCAGGCCCGACGCUGGAGCAAUUGUUGAAUGAGCCUUGUCCAAGGCAUGGCUCUAGAGAGAAGCCAGCUACUCAUCUAUGGAAGGAUUGUGCAAUCAUGAAGGCCUUUAAGAAUUCCAACGCCUUUGACGGCAACAAUGACCCGGGCGGUGGCUCAGGCGCCGGCGGCUUUCAUGGCCCGGGCGGCGGUUCAAAUGCUAAUCCUCAGAACGGUCAAGGGGGCUUUAAUCAGCAGACUGGCCAGGGUCAUCAACAGCAGCAGGGGGUUAUCAGACCAAUCCAAAGCAGCUCAGCGGGGGACAGUAUCAUGUAUUCACCACCAGUCUGUGUAAGCGAGAUCAGAAGCUUCCUAAGAGGGCUGUGAAUGCCGUUGAGCCGGCGGCUCCACGCUAUUUACGAUGGUCUGAGCAGCCUAUAGUGUGGAGUAGGGAGGAUCACCCUCCCCGGGUGGAUAAUCCGGGUCACUUGGCCUUGGUGGUGGCUCCUCAGGUGGGAGGAUAUAAGUUCACUAAGGUACUCAUGGAUGGAGGCAGCAGUAUCAACAUCCUCUAUUAUGAGACUUUCCGUCGUAUGGGUUUGAUUGAUAAGAACCUCAGCCAGUCAAACACUAUUUUCCAUGGUGUGGUACCUGGUAAGUCGGCUUAUCCAGUCGGCAAGAUCGAGUUGGAAGUGGCCUUUGGAGAUGAGCACAACUACAGGGUGGAAAAAUUGACCUUUGAGGUGGUCAAGAUAAGAAGUCCGUACCAUGCCAUAUUUGGGCGGCCGGCUUACGCCAAGUUCAUGGCACGGCCGUGUUACGUGUAUUUACAGCUCAAGAUGCCGGGUCAUAAUGGGACCAUUACGAUUCAUGGCAGCCGGAAGGUGGCCCUGGAAUGUGAGGAAGGCGAUGCGGCUUAUGCAGAAUCUGUUUGCGCAACAGAGGAGUUGAAGUUUUACAAAGACAACGUUGACCCAACGGAUAUGACCUCUCUGAAAAAGCCAACUACGGAGCAGGAGCCGGCAAUGAAAUUUAAGUCGGCUGAUGAGACUAAACUUGUUGAUUUCGUUCCAGGAGAUUCAUCUCAGCAGUUUAGCAUCAGCGCCAAUCUGGAUCCAAAAUAGGAAAGCGCGCUCAUCGAGUUCAUCCGUGAGAAUAGGGACAUUUUUGCAUGGAAGCCGUCUGACAUGCCAGGUGUACCUAGAGAACUCGCUGAGCACACUCUCAAUGUUGAUCCGAAAUUUAAGCUGGUCAGGCAAUUCCUUCGGCGGUUUAAUGAAGAGAGGCGGAAAGCUAUUGGUGAAGAGGUGGCCCGGCUCUUGGCGGCCGGGUUUAUCGUUGAAGUCUUUCACCCAGAGUGGUUAGCUAACCCGGUGCUCGUGCUCAAGAAGAACGGCACCUGGCGGAUGUGUGUGGACUACACGGACUUGAACAAAGCGUGUCCGGCUGAUCCUUUUGCCCUUCCCCGUAUUGAUCAAAUCAUUGAUGCUACGGCGGGUUGUGAGCGUUUAAGUUUCUUGGAUGCUUAUUCUGGAUAUCAUCAGAUUAAGAUGGCAGUUAAGGACCAGGAGAAGACGGCGUUCAUCACUCCCUUUGGAGUCUUCUGCUAUGUGUCUAUGCCCUUUGGACUCAAGAGUGCACAGGCGACUUACCAGCGUUGCGUGCAGAACUGUCUUCAUAACCAGAUUGGGCGCAAUGUUCAUGCUUAUGUGGAUGAUAUUGUGGUUAAAUCCAGGAAGGAGGAUGAGGGAAACCUUUGAUAACCUACGGGUCUACAAGAUGAUGCUUAACCCGGCCAAAUGUGUUUUUGGUGUUCCUGCAGGCAAGCUCUUGGGUUUCUUGGUUUCUAACAGAGGUAUUGAAGCUAACCCGGAGAAGAUCAAGGCAAUCACCUCUCUGGCUAAGCCGGCGUGCAUAAACGACGUCCAGCGCUUGGCGGGUCGUAUUGCUGCUUUAAGCCGUUUUAUAAGCCGUUUGGGGGAGAAGGCCAUGCCAUUAUAUCAAUUGAUGAAGAAAACUGACGGCUUUGUCUGGAAUGAAGCAGCUAAUACUGCUUUUGAGGAUUUGAAGAGGCAGCUGGCCGAGCCCCCAGUCCUUGCGGCUCCGGUUGACAAGGAGCCUUUAUUACUGUACGUGGCUGCUAACACACAAGCCGUCAGUGUGGCCGUGGUGGUGGAGCGCAAGGAAGAGGGUAAGGAGCAUCCGGUUCAGCGGCUGGUUUAUUAUGUCAGCGAAGUACUCAUUGAGUCCAAGCAGCGGUAUCCGCAUUGGCAGAAGCUUGUUUAUGGUGUGUUCAUGGCGAGCCGGAAGCUUAAGCAUUAUUUUCAGGGUCACCCCAUCACUGUGGUCAGUUCUUCCCCCCUUGGGGAUAUCAUUCAAAACAGGGAGGCCACAGGGAGAGUGGCUAAGUGGGCUAUAGAGCUCAGACCUCAUGGUCUGAAAUACGUGCCACGCACUGCUGUUAAGUCUCAGGCCUUGGUGGAUUUCAUCAAUGAUUGGACAGAGUUACAAGUGUCCGAACAAAAGCCGGACAACACAUACUGGACUAUUCACUUCGAUGGGUCCAGGCAAUUGGAGGGCUCGGGGGCUGGAGUCGUAUUGGCUUCGCCUAAAGGUGACAAGUUUCAUUAUGUGCUACAAUUGAUGUUUCCUUGCGCCAACAAUGCAGCUGAAUACGAGGCCUUGCUCCACGGUCUUCGGAUGGCUAAGGAGAUGAGCUUGAGCCGGGUAAGGUGCUUCGGCGACUCAGACUUGGUGGCUCAACAGGUAUCAGGAAAGUGGGACUCUAAGGACCCUCUCAUGGCGGCUUAUCGCCGCGAAGUUGAUGCCAUUGCUGGGCACUUUCAGGGUUAUCAAGUAGAGCACAUCGAUCGCAGGAAGAAUGAAGCGGCUGAUGCUUUAAGCCGGCUGGGCUCUCAGCGAAAACCGGUGCCGCCUAAUACUUUCCUGGACGUCCUGUAUAACCCUUCUGUUAAGUUGCCUACAGAGGAAGACUUGGCUGUCCCUAACCCGGAGGCGCGACUGGUGGCGGCUCUCCACAUCAUACCGGACUGGACGGUGCCCUAUUUGGCUUACAUAACCCGGGGAGAUUUGCCUGAGGACGAAACUUUGGCCAGACAAAUAACCCGGCGGUCUAAGUCAAUGGUUGUCAUCAAUGGUGAGUUGCAUCGCCGCAGUGUUACGGGAGCGUUCCAGCGUUGUGUCUCCCCUGCGGAAGGUCAAGAGAUCUUGCGAGAGAUUCAUGAAGGGGAUUGUGGCCAUCACGCCGGCUCAAAGUCUCUUGUGGCCAAGGCUUUUCGUCAUGGUUUUUAUUGGCUGACGGCUCAUGCUGAUGCGGAGGACUUGGUCAGUAAAUGUGAUGGUUGCCAGAGGUUCUCGCGACGGGCUCAUGUGCCGGCUCAGGAGCUUAGGAUGAUCCCAAUUACUUGGCCCUUUGCGGUCUGGGGGCUUGAUAUGGUUGGGCCUUUUAAAAGGUCCAAGGAUAAGAAGACCCACCUUUUGGUGGCAGUUGACAAAUUUACUAAGUGGGUUGAAGCGGAGCUAGUUAGCAAGUGCGAUGCAGCCACGGCGGUUCAAUUUAUGAAAAAGGUGAUUUUUCGCUUUGGCUUUCCGCACAGCAUUAUAACUGACAAUGGUACCAAUCUAUCCAAAGGCGCCAUGGAGGAGUUUUGUCAACGAGAGCAUAUCCGACUUGAUGUUUCAUCAGUGGCUCAUCCUCAAUCCAAUGGUCAAGCUGAGAGGGCUAAUCAGGAGAUUCUGAAGGGCAUCAAACCCCGGCUUUUGGUCCCUUUACAACGGACGCCGGGUUGUUGGGUGGAGGAGUUACCCUCCGUGGUAUGGAGCAUCAACACUACUCCUAACAGGUCUACAGGUUUCACGCCUUUCUUCAUGGUUUAUGGAGCGGAAGCAGUCCUCCCCAGUGACAUCCGUCAUGACUCGCCUCGAGUGGCGGCUUAUGUUGAGGUGGAUAAUGAACAGGCGCGCCAAGAUGCUCUUGACUUGUUGGACGAACAGCGUGAUGUGGCAGCAGCUCGCUCAGCGAUUUACCAACAGGACCUGCGCCGUUAUCAUAGUCGCCGGGUUAAAUCCCGGGUCUUCCAGGAAGGCGAUCUGGUGCUCCGGCUCAUCCAAGAUUAAACAGAUGCCCACAAGCUAUCCCCGCCUUGGGAAGGGCCCUUUGUGGUCAGCAAGAAUUUGCACAACGGGUCAUAUUACCUCAUUGACAUUCGGGAGCACAAAGAUUCACGUAAGUCGGAGGAAGAGACCCGUCGGCCGUGGAACAUAGCUCAGCUUCGGCCUUAUUACACUUGAGCCACUGGCUCUCAUAAUGUACAUAUUUCCGUAAGCCAUGUAUAUAUUAUGAUAAGCAAUAAAGCAGGACCUCUGUCCUUUUCUCCUCCAAAGAUAAACGUGUUAUUUUCAUUACAAGAUCAUAUGAUAAUUUGAAGGAGGGUCCGGCUUAUGAUCGUAUUUGAAUCUAGCCAUACACAAUACAGUCACUUGGGGGCUUCCUGUUCAAACAUAGGUCGUAUUCGAACCAAAGAGAACAUAGCUGUCGAUACCCAUUUGAUUGGCAAAGUGCCGAGCUCAUUGGGGAGUUUUCUUUGAUCAUAUUUGAAUCAUAGUUUAACCCCUUUGGGAACCGACGUGGAUCGUAUUCGAAUCAGCGUCGUUAAACAAUUCUUAAAAGUCAUUUGGGGGCUUCCUGUUCAAACAUGGGUCGUAUUUAAACCAAAGAGAACAUAGCUGUCGGUACCCUCUUGAUUGGCAUCGCCAUACCCACUAGGGGCUAUAUGCUCGCAUUCGAAUCUUAGCAUAACCUCUUUGGGACGGGUCUCUGGUCGUAUUCGAACCGGAAGCCUCUAAGUUUUUUUCUGAUUUAUAGUAAGUUCUUCUGAUUAUUUCAAAUAUGCACGACGGGUCUCACUUUGCCGGCUUAAAUUUUGAUUUACAGUACUAGUCGAAUACAAUCGGCGUUCUUAAAACUGGUAAACCGGAAUUGAGGUACCAACCUUAUUACCCGGGUUAUAUAAGCCGGCAGUGUGCUUGCAGGCCGGUAAGUGUGUUAUUACGGGUAUAUCAAAGACAUAAUUGAGGACCAGUCUUUUUUGAUUCAUCUUCCGGGUUAUAUGUCUCAAAUUGUGAUUCUCAGUGCGGUAAGCCGCCUCGAGACUUGUGAUUUGUUUUUCUAUGCAGGAUAGUUAAAGGCAACUAUUUGAGAUUAAGGAAAAUGAAUGAUCAAUUAUGACCCGGAGAGGUAUAAAGGAGACAACUUAAAUGGAAUUCAGCAUUCAACGCGUGCACGAUGGCACGGCAAAGUUAAAGUGUUGGCCCUACUCUAUUACAAGACUCAUCGAGUCCAAAAGGGUGAAGCAUUGUUUAAUAAGCCGCCUGCAGAGUUACGAUGCUUGCUGAGUUGAAGUUUCCGGCUCAUCCCUCUCCGCUCCUCCGGCUGUUCCCAAGACCUGGAAAGUUGACGACUUCCAGUCAAUGCCGCUCAGAGCUUCAAAUUGGGCUUCCUCGUCAAUUAACCCGGCCGGGUCAAUCUCCGGGGCAAAGGUGUGCUUACGAGCCGGCGGGACUAAGCUGAUGGCUUCAUAGCGCGGAGUGGGGAUCCUCUGAUUCUCUGCAUCAUAACCCGGCUGGUACUUAGUCAGAUCCGUGUCAUUGCCAAUCAGAGUGGCCACCGGGCGUACGAUCUUCACGCAGGCUGCAAAGUCCCUUUGGUCGAAGGGGGUGUCGUCUUCCUUCAAACUGGGGUAGCCCAGAGCAAUGUCCGCCGGGUCUAGUUCUGGAAGGAAUGCCUUGGCCCGGCUCAGAGCAGCUAUGGCUCCGGCUCUUGCAGAGGCCCGUCGCAGCUCUUGGACACGUUGGGGAAGAACGGCAAGCUGGCGAAGAACUUCCGCCAGGUGAGUCGGCACCUCAUUGGAUAGGGCCACCACAGCCAUGGCACGCUGUGACCCGGUGUAGAGUUGCUCCACCAGGGUGUACACGGCCUUCAACUUGGUUACCACACUUUGGUUGAGGUUGGCGCUUCUGGGACCUGUGUAACAGAGUAAGAUAAGCCGCCGGCAAUGAUGGGUUAUGAGACAUAAAAAUUAUGAACUGGAUGAAAGCCGGUGGAAUGACUUACCGAAGAUUGCGGAAACCAUCUGGGACACUUGGCGCUUUAAGCCGGAGAGUUCGGCGGUUUUCUCUGUCAGAGCCCUCUCCGCCUGUUCGGCCCGGUUCACCAGAGUAGCCUUCUCUUCGGCCCAAGCUUUCCGUUCAGCAUCAAAGUCCGUCUUCAGCUUUUCUUGCGCAACAAUACUGGACACAAAUUUGGCAUUGGCCUUCCGGGUCUCAGUUUCUUGCGUCCUCAGGCGGGUCUUCAGAUCGGAGAUGUCGGCUUCAAACUUCUUGCAAGCAGCCUGCAUAAUUUCCGGGUUAUAGGAUGAACAGUUAUUACGCAAUUUUAAAGUCCCAAGCACUUUCCAAGCAAAGACACUUGGCACUUGGGGGCUAAUGCAUAUCGAACGUUUCUAUUUACAAAUUGCCGGUUCAAGCGAGUAAGCCGGAACUUAAGUCUACAACAUAUUUUAUCAUAAGUCGUAGACUUGGGGGCUAGAGUAUGGUAAGAAUAACAAAAUAACUAUGCAGUAAGCAAGGAGAAAGAAGAGUAGUACCUCAGACUUCUGCUGAAUCUGGUUCACCAUGCUGAUCUCUACAUCCCGGCUCUUGUGCACUUGGCUGACAUAGCCGGAGACGAUCUCUCCGAUGUUCAGGUUGGCGUUGUCGGUGAGGUCCAGAUUAACCCGGCGGUGCUGUAGCAACUCCUCCUUGGCGGAGCACUUGGCCAGUGCAGUAGGUCUCCCCGGCUCAACAAACUCCGUCCGGGUGAUUACCACGUCCGGGUCAUUGGCCGGCUGAGCCGAGCUGGAGGUCUCCGGGUUAGCAGAAGCUUCUGCAGUUGCCUUGUCGGUUGGAGCGGUGGCUUCGGGAGCGGAGGCAGCUGGCGGUUCUUGAGCUGCUACCUCCGGUUCAGGCAAGUCCGGCUCUUCGACCGGCUUGUUCUUCUUCGCCUUCUUGGUGAGUUUUGCCUGGGCACUGAAAAGACAAAAAGGUUAAGCACAAAAGUGGAAGUAAAGACAAGUACAACAUGAGAUGAUCAUCAUUACCCGGGCACGGUCUUGAAAGCCGGCAGGUUCGACUGCAUAGAGUCGCCAGAAGAGGGGGAAGUCUCCUGAUAAUUUGAGUCAGAAGAGUUGAGCGGUUGACGUAUAACACCCGCCAAAGGAUGAAAAGGGUACAAGUUUGAGAUCACCUCGGUCCGGCGUUUCCUCGACGCGUCAGGUAAACCGGAAGAGAGGUCGGCGUCCUUGUUGGUCCGGGUGUGCCGCCGGCUCUCAUGAAUCUGUUGCUUCAAAAGAAAUUGAGGAUCUUGAUAAGCUAAAGGAUGUGAAAAUCUUACUUUCCGGGUUACCCUUCGGACUUUCAGCCUUGGCAAGGGCUCCGAGUCGGAGGAAAGUAUCAUUACCUCUUCAACCACCGGGUUACUUGCUCCGGUGUCAUCCUGUUGAUGAACAGUAUUGAUAAGGUGGACAGAAAUACAAACUACAUACAACAAGAGAUUACAGGUUCAGGGGUUACCUCUGACUCGGAGCUGUCGCUUAGUUGCAGCAGCUUUGAAGCAGUAGGCCUACUUCCCUUCUUGCGGGGAGCGGCUCUCUUGGCGGCUUUCUUAGCCUUCCUGGCCUUCUUGGCCGCCUCAUGGUCAUAUUUGACCUUCCAGAAUUUGUCAUCAGCCUGAAAAAUACAAUGAUGAUUUUUUUUAAAAGAUUUAGAUGAAGGUUAUCUGCAGAAGAAGAUAAGAUGUUCAGAUCAGCGGCUUACUGCUGGGGCCGGGUUGGUCUUGCAGAAGGGGGCUAACCCGGUCCUCCCGCAGUCUGCCAAGCUCUCAUUUAAAAGGGCCUUGGUCAUGUCUUCAGCAACGUCUUCAGGAAGAUCGUUGCGGCUGUGUUGCAGGGGGGUCAUCUUUCCGGCCUGUGUACUCACACAUUAAGCCAGGGCGGCGGCUCAGGGGGAUCACCCGCCACGAGAUCCAGACCCGGACCAGAUCAAUUCCGUUGAGACCAUUGCCCAGGAGAGCCUUGAUUUUGUUGAUGGUGGGGAGCAGAGGUUGGCGCUCCGCCUGAGUUAACUUGACAGACAGAGAGUGAGUUGGUUCCAGACGUGAAGGGCGAAAGCCGGGCAGCGGGCUCUCAUCAGCCGGCGACGUGUCUUGGCAAUAGAACCACGUCUGGUUCCGGUCUUUUGGGUGGCUUGGCGGCUCAGCGUAAGGGAAAAGGCAGUCCCUCCGUCGCUGAAUGGAGAUGCCACCAAGUUCCAACCUUGGCCCGUUGGCGCACUCGUUCUGACGGUUCAGGUAGAAGAGCUCUCUGAAGAGCAGCAGACUGGGUUCUUCUCCAAGGUAGACCUCACAGAACACUUGGAAAUUGCAUAUAUUUGACACCGAGUUGGGUCCUAUGUCUUGAGGCCGCAGGUCGAAGAAAUUCAGCACAUCUCUGAAGAACUUUGAGCCGGGCGGUGCGAAGCCCCGGCUCAUAUGGUCCGCAAAAACUACCACUUCCCCGUCCCUCGGCUGUGGUCUCUCCUCUAAUGGGUCGGGGGCACGGUAGGACAUGACGUCCUUUUUGGGCAGGUAACCUGACUUCAUGAAAUCCGUUAAGGUCUCGUCGGUGACGUUGGACCUCAUCCAAUUGCAAGUGAUGGGUGCUUUAGGAGCUUUGGGAGGCAUGGUGAAAGUCGGAAGCCUAUGAUAAAAGGAAACAUGCCCGGUUUAAUUAUAAGCCGGAGGAAAUUUACAGUUCAGUGUUAAAGUGGCGGCUUAUGGAGGGGCCUAAUGACAUAUAUCUAAUUGCAUUGGGUUAUCUAAGCCGCUGGGGGUAUUAAGAAAUAAUUCGAUUGUCUACGACCUUGUCACAGAUAAGCCGGAUAAUUUUAUGGCGCAUGGCCUCCUUUGAGCUGGAAGGUCCAACGGCGCGUGGUUUCUUUAAACCGGAAAUGUAAACCGCCAUGACUCAACGGGUGCAGUUUUUUACUAAGUGUGGUGAAAACAGUUUUCACACAUUGCAGUAAAUAAUUUGGAUCAAAACGGUCGGCUAAAAGGAAAGUUUCUAGACCUAAAAACAGACGCGAGGGAAGUUCUUGGGCUCGAACGGGGCUUUUAGGCAGUCAAAAGAGGUCUACUUGCAUUUGAAAUGAGUGCCAAACAGCCGCCGCGUUGGUUCUAUGCUAUCUUAAGAUCAAGAAGAGGCAGUAAAAACGAAAACUACCAAGAACUCGUGGGCGACGGCGAAGAACACGGAAGAACAGCAGGAGCUUAACGUAGAUCUAUCCUACGAGGAGGAAGGAACUGACGGGUGCAGGGGUUCGCCGCGGUUCUCUGGACGGUUCAGGGUGAUGCAGCGGCCAAGGACGACGAGGAUGCAGAGCUCUGUUGCGGCAGUGGCGGCGGCGGAGCUCGGGCAGCACGGGAGCAGCGAGAGGAAGGAGACGAGAGAAGGGGAAGAAUGGAAAGACCCGAGGGUCGGGCUACUUAUAAGGGCGAGCUCAUAAGUGGGCGCGAGAAACGAGGAGACCACGGCGUGGUUAUCUCCCCACGAAACGCCUCGAUUUUCGGGAUGGCAGUAAAGAUAAGAUCCGUUGCGGAUAUAGUGGAGUAAAAAAUGGACUUAAUGGAAGAUGACGUCACGGCGGAUUACCCGGAGUCCAGAGGAUGACAUCACGCCGGGUUAUAGCCUUCACACAAGUGUAAGCCGGAGAAUUUCUGUCGAAAGAAUUGAAGAUUGACAUGAGCCGGCUCAAAUCAAUCUGGGGCCUAAUGUUGAGGAUAUAGACCUAGAGUCACCCGCCAGGAGGGGACGGGUUACUCAUAAUGGUCAUCGCCAGAAGCCCGGCGCCAAGCUUGAAGACGGUGGGCCAAAGAUGGGCUUAAGACCCGGAUAUGGCUUAAGGCCCGUAGUUACAAUCAUCAUUAUGGUAGAACUUGUAGUAUAAGGCAAGAAUAGUUGAGAGUCCGAGCCGGACACUCUUAUGAGCCGGCCGGGACUCUGAGAGCUGCUGGGCGUCAGCCUCCCUAUAUAAAGGGACGACCCGGCAGCGGUUUAGGGACAAGAAAGAUCUCAUCGAGAGCCAGGCAUAGCGGUUUAGCUCCCUGGUCAUCGAAACCCUAAUCAAUACCACCUCAACUGGACGUAGGCUUUUACCUUCACUGUAAGGGGCCGAACCAGUAUAAACCCUCGUGUUCCUUGUCCCGUUUAACCCCUUCAAGCUUCCUAGCGGCGAUGGCUCCACGACUAAGUCCUAGCUUGAGGACAUCUGACGUGACAAUUCCACGACAGGCUCGGUUAAGCUUUCCGAAACCACGGCCAUCUCCAACAUAGAGCUUAAGAAACACCGCCAUGAUCUCAUGCUUGAUGAUGGGCCACGCCUUCUGAUAGAAGGCCGCGGUAAACCCAUCCGGCCCUGGUGCCCGCUCCGGGUGCAUCUCUUUGAUCGCGCUCCAAACUUCCUCUUCUGUGAAAAUAGCGUCCAACUCCGAGAGGUCAAGCUGAAUUCUGUGAAAAUAGCGCUCCAAUGUCCUUUAAUUUGAAUAGUUGUCUUUUCUCUUAUAUCAUUUCACAUGUUUCACCUUUUUUUGCUGGGUCAUGUUGUGUGAAAUAGUUAUACUAUAUCAUUUCUUCUUCAUUCUUGUACAUAUAGUGUAAAUUCUGAUUCGUUUUGCUUUUGUCUACAGGUCACUGUCAGGCCUGAGGAAGUGCAUACUGAAAAAUACGAGGAGCAGAUGGGGUAGACCAAUGUGUUUUUUAUGUCAGAAUCAGAAUGCUAUGAGAGUUGUACAUGUGCUUUCGUGGGCCAUGGGUGUGUGUGCUUGUGGAGCGCGUGGGUUAUUUAAAGGCAUUGAUGAUGAAAUAGAAUUUUGAAUCCCAUCCACCCCAUAUCCGAACUCAACAAAAAAAGAAAGAUAAGGUUGCUAAUCUUCUUUGGGGUUGAUUUGGUGUAAGAUCCUGAUCCGCCUUUGGUUGAUUUGGAGGAAGGCUGAGACAACUCCAUUCAAACCCAGUACACAUAAUAGGCUUCUUGUAGUACACAUAAAAAGCAUCUG